AUUGAACGCUGGCGGCAUGCUUUACACAUGCAAGUCGAACGGUAACAGGCCGCAAGGUGCUGACGAGUGGCGAACGGGUGAGUAAUGCAUCGGAACGUGCCCAGUCGUGGGGGAUAACUACUCGAAAGAGUAGCUAAUACCCCAUACGAUCUAUGGAUGAAAUCGGGGGACCGUAAGGCCUCGCGCGAUUGGAGCGGCCGAUGUCAGAUUAGGUAGUUGGUGGGGUAAAGGCUCACCAAGCCAACGAUCUGUAGCUGGUCUGAGAGGACGACCAGCCACACUGGGACUGAGACACGGCCCAGACUCCUACGGGAGGCAGCAGUGGGGAAUUUUGGACAAUGGGCGCAAGCCUGAUCCAGCAAUGCCGCGUGCAGGAAGAAGGCCUUCGGGUUGUAAACUGCUUUUGUACGGAACGAAACGGCUCUGGUUAAUACCCGGGGCUAAUGACGGUACCGUAAGAAUAAGCACCGGCUAACUACGUG
rnacentral:rRNA from 1 species